GAAAUGCGAUAAGUAAUGUGAAUUGUAGAAUUCAGUGAAUCAUCGAAUCUUUGAACGCACCUUGCGCUCCUUGGUAUUCCUUGGAGCAUGCCUGUUCGAGUAUCAUGAAAUCUUCAAAGUAAAUCUUUUGUUAACUCAAUUGGUUUCUACUUUGGUAUUGGAGGUCUUUGCAGCUUCACACCUGCUCCUCUUUGUUCAUUAGCUGGAUCUCAGUGUUAUGCUUGGUUCCACUCGGCGUGAUAAGUUAUCUAUCGCUGAGGACACUGUAAAAGGUGGCCAAGGUAAAUGCAGAUGAACCGCUUCUAAUAGUCCAUUGACUUGGACAAUACUUUUAUGAUCUGAUCUCAAAUCAGGUAGGACUACCCGCUGAACUUAAGC
rnacentral:misc_RNA from 1 species